ACGAGAUCUAAUCGGGACGGACGGAUUGUGACGAAACGCGUCCCUUCUCAAUACAGAACUGACCAGUGCGGAACUAACCCCCCCCCCUUUAACCACUAGUUAGCAUUGUAUAGCCCCUUUUUCACUAAACUGACCAGGGUAGAACACAAACAAUCUAUUACACCAAUGUUAGAUCCAACCCCCAAAUUAUAGGCCAUAAACACACAUUGAAAGUUACGCCCCAAACGCCGAAACAAAAGCACGCAACCGUAAAGUCCAGGGACAUUAAAAUUUGGUGUCCACGUACAUCCCUUUGAGUCGACACUCCUAACGCCCAGGGCUAUUCAAAUCGUUUCCGUCCGCUGUACCAUCGAGCGAUGGUCCAGCCUGAUAAUUGUUGCAUGGUUCCGCUUUCAUCCUCCUUCGCCCCCCCCCCCGGGUCGCGGGUUAAAGAAGUCAGGUGAAUGAGCCCCAAAUGAAAAGAUUGGUCCAACUUAACAAUUCUAAACUCAAAAGACUCGCUGGCCAUUGGAUCGUCACUACUCUUAACAUACCGUUCGGGAACCUAUAAAAGCCGGAGACGAAAGUUUCAGGUUAAUGCCAUUCUAGAUCAGAAUCACUGAGAAGUCAGAAGACUCUCAAGUCAACGAUUCAUUUGGGAACUUGUGUAAGGCAAAGCGGGUGAGUUGGAAAAACUUUAUCAUUAUUAUUUAGUGUGUCUUCGCCUGUAGCAUUUAGGUUCAUGUAUCAUUACCAUGUUAAUACUUGUUUGCUUCCAAAUAUUAUAUUUGUAAAUCUCUAUGAAUAUGUGCUCCUUAAUAACUUGUCAAUGUUGACUGUAUUCCCAACGGUGGACAUCCACCUUACAAUUUAGUUAAUCCUAAUGUUUAUUUGUGCAUUUGUUAUUUAUUCAUAUCCAUAUUCAUCUGGACCUACUCGCGUCUAGAUCAUUUUCUUACCUGUGCAUAUGUACCUGUAUAUGUGCACAUAUAUAUACAUUAUGAUUAUGCUUGUUUUGGUUAUGCACAUACUGUGCUGUUACCAUGCAUCCUUAGGCCCGAGAAUCAGUCUCGCGUGUCUACCCCACUAUUUUCAGCUUGUCGACCUGCAUGGUUAUGUGCCCUUUUGUACCCCCCCCCCUCCCUUCUUCUUGUCACGGUCCUCUGGUCACGAGUGACCGCGGACUUGUUUACCUGUGGGUCAAUGAGGUCACAGGGGCUACAACCCUGUAAUAUGGUCCCCCUGUUCCCCUCCUCAUUUAUGCCCCUGCCUUGUACAUUUAUAUUUGUAUUUGUAUUAUUAUUAUUGUAUUAUUUGUACAGCAUUUGUUACUAGACCUAGUAAAAUGUUGUUAACAUGUAUCUUAGUUAGUCUGAGGGAGACGCUCCUAUCAAGGAUGCGCCCCUCGCCGACCAGCCUGUAUGGUUUAAUAAUUCAGGCUCCUCUCAUGUCUCAUUUCAUAGCCUCCUACACCAGGGCUGGCGUGUUUUGUUGCCUGAAGGCAGACCUCAGCAGCUCUCCACACAUUCCCGUUGAGGGUGAGUCACUCAUCACCCUCGACCCGAACCGAAGGCAUUCCAGGCUGACGUCCCAGGACCGGUCUGCAACUACCACAGGAGUAAGCCCACCGCGUGGCAUCCUCAUAUUCCUCACACUAGCGCCUGCCUACCUGCAGGGCACCAACAACUGGCUAAAACACAACGGAGCUUCAACUUACCCCACCCCGAAGGAGAACCUUGCAUAGCAGAUAAGUGAGAGACAGCCGAAUAAGCAAACCAUACACGAAUCUUUAUGAGCAAUAUCCCAGUGAUGAUAUUAUCUUAAACGUUAUCAUAAAUCUUCCUGUACAUCCCCCCCCCUCACUCACUGAUUGUGUUUCCUCUCAAUUAAUCUUUAUUAAAUAUUUGUUCUUUUACGAAAUCAUUAAGCUUUACGUUUUGCUUGUGCCUGUCUAUGUGCCUAUAUAAUACCAACAAAAUAUUUACCACGUUGUGGCUCUAAGACUUUACCCCUAGAAGUCGCAGGCCAUCGUCCCCAUCGGGAAGUGCAAACGGACCGAUCGGCGGACUUAUUCCACCACAACGGGGGUAAACUGUGACGCCUAGUCCGGGAUCACAAAACCCUAACUCAUUCAGUAUAGGCACAAGGCAAUAAGCAGAACGUUCACAAAUUUCCACCCACUAGACCCUAUAAAUAUAUAUUGAUAACAUAGAACUACAUAUUGCUCAGUAUGGUUUGAUUAUGUCAAUGCUGUAUAGUAUAUUAUAUUAAUUAUAUAAUUGUUGUAUCACAUUUAGAUAAAAACACAGGUGAAGACAUAAUUAAAUAAAUAUUCAGUUAGCCUCUCACCCGCUUCAGCUUCUGAGCAUAUUUCCCCAUCACUUCUAUCCCACAAAAAUGGCUGAAGGCACUAGAUCAAAAGCCGAAUCAUCUAAAUCUAUUAAAAUUCGCGAGCUCAACGAGCUAGCAGACCAAAUAGGUAUCAGGCCUGAUGAUCGACCGACGUUCGUCCUGGCUAAGUUCGAGGAGUGGGAAAAUCGUGAGAGGGAAAAAGAAAAAAUAGAUAGAGAGAGGGAAAAAGAAAAAAUAGAUAGAGAGAGGGAAAAAGAAAAAAUAGAUAGAGAAAGGGAAAGGGAAAAAGAAAAAUUAGAUAGAGAGAGGGAAAGGGAAGCUCACGCGUUCCGUAUGAAAGAGAAGGAGAUAGAGUUAGAAAAAUUAAAAGCUAACGACGAACCGCGCACAACAAAUGCUGCCGAUCAAAACUCCCCUAACUGUCAAACCCCUCACUUCAACUUAGAACCUUUCGAUGAAACCAAAGAAAGUAUAGAGACUUUCUUAGAAAGGUUUCAAAACGUGGCUACCAACAACCAGCUACCAAUUGGCAAAUGGCCAUUUAGAGUGUCGCAAGCUCUUCGGGGUAAGGCCUACGAGGUGUAUGCUAAGCUCCCCUCAUCUAGUCGAAACGACUACUCAGCGCUCAAGAACGCACUGCUAGUCCAGUUCGACUUGACCGCCAGCUCCUACCACAAGAAAUUUAGGAACUCUCGCCUUGAAAGGCGCGAGAUGUAUUCCAGUCUCUUUACUAGACUAGAGAAAUACUUAGAUAAAUGGUUAUCCUUAAGUCCCUUCACUCAAAAUUAUGAAGGCCUAAAAGACCUUAUUCUGGUAGAACAGCUCCGCGAAUGCAUGACCCCUGACCUUCGCAUCUUCAUAGAUGAAAGCGGUGUCACAACACCACAAGAAAUAGUCAGUUACUCUGAUAGAUUUCUAGCAGCCCACAGGGAGCAGAAAACUAAAACGUCAGACCAAAGCCCAUCGAUAGCGAAGGUAGAUAAGCAGCCCGACCCUCCAAGUAGCAGCAAUAACAAUAACAACAAACAAACACGCCAGCCCAACAACCAAGCACCCCGCCACCCCAUUCCUCCCAACCCGCCGAGGCAGCAAAAGAAAUGGUGUAGCUUCCAUAACUCUCCUACCCAUGACUCCAGCGAGUGUCAUAAUAGAAGCCGCCCUUACUCAGCCCAACCACUGAUGGUGGUAACACAAGCAACUCCCGUCCUAAACUCAUCACCGAGUAACCAUCCCCCUACGGUCGAAAAGGUAUUAGUGAACGGAAUAUCCUCUAAUUGUCUAUACGAUUCCGGGUGUUCCUUUUCGGCAAUCGUCAGGAAAUCAUUGGUAAAGCCCCGCUACAUUAGCAACAAAUGGGUCACCAUACAAGGCGCAGACUUGAACUCUCCCCCAUUCACCCUUCCGAUCGCCCGAAUAAAGGUGAGAUCUAGAUAUGUCAACGGUAGGAUAGAGGCGGCCGUCAUGGACAAUCCAUGCUUUGAUCUAACGCUUGGUGAUAAAUACGUGUUCCUGGGAACUCCUACAGGCCCAAGGUUCACUACCUCAGAGGUCAUUCCGGUGAACCCCAAUACAAAUAACCCCUCGGUCCCUGAAACGGACCACAUCAGCGCAUUCCCUGUGAUUACUGGAGCCCAGGCUCCACAGGAUGGCGCAAGGGAAACCCUUAACUCUCUCCGCAGAGGAUACAAGGAAUCCCCACGAAGCUAUCUAUCGUCUGCAAAGAUUUUCGUUCCCGUGAAAAGGGGUAAAUCGAGAAUCCAUAGGCGCCCAAUAGCUCGAAAAUCGGGCCUCCCACAGCACUUUGCAGGGGAGGGAGGCGCACGAAGCCACGCGGCCCAGUCCCAGCGCUUCGGCCCUCAAACCCAGCAAACUGGCCAACACAACUCUCAGGACUCUAAACAGAGUCGAGGAGUAACGGCCGAGAAACCCAUCAGCAGUUCUAUCACGAAGAACGCUGACUCUGGCGGCGCACCUGUUGUUACGCAGGUCGCCAACCUCAACGCUAUCGCCAUCGAGCGAAGCACUCCCUCUGCCAGCGCACCCAUCAAUGCACAGGGCACUGGCACUGCCACCAUCGUCCUUCCGCAGGACACUGGCAUCGACAGCGUAAUGAACAUCGCAUCCAGCGCCACAAUGAUUGCACCUGAUAUAGUGCGAGGCAUCAAACCCCUUGGUGCCGCCUUCAACUCACGGUCCACCGAAACCGACCCCAGUCCACUCGUCACGAGAAGCGCCUGUACAAACAGCUAUGAGACAAGACAAUGUCUCCCCCUCGAGCCGCCUGGUAAGGUAUCUCUGUCCCCCACUUUACCCAUUUCUGCACCCCUCCUCAACUCCGAGGGCCUAAAACCACAUCCGCCCUUAAACAUCAUAGAUGAGCUACCCGCUAACCCCACUGAGGUCAUUCUGAGUGAAAACGACCCGCCGCCCAGCCAACUAUCAAACUUGCAACUUAGCUCGGCUAAUAAACAAGAAGACCACAAAAUCUGUCUAAAGUUUCUAUGUCUAGUAGUCUCGUUGAUGUUUCUUGCACAUCACUAUGGUUCAAACCCUAAAGCAUCACAUGGGCCCUCACACGAUGGUUCAACUCUCCAUGUGCUUCCCAAACCAGUACUGGUGGUAACACUUAUGCUCACUACAUUCUUGCUAGGCUAUCUGUCUGAUAGAAUAGGGUGGCCACACUUUUGCAGCCGGCGUAAGGUAUUUCUUACCACGCCUAAGUUCUCGAAGGGCCUUCCGCAGCUUCAACACAAUGAUAACAAGCUGAACACCCAGUCCCGGCUACUACUAUUUAGCCACUCUCUUGCCCGUAAUGGCAGUCACAAAGAGGGAGUAACUCCCGCCUUCCUUGAUUGGUGCACAAGUGAGUCUGCCAAUACAUCAAACCCAGAUCCUGUGGUGGAGUUUGAUGUCCACCAUAGCAUCCCAGCUCACGCUGGACCUGAUGACGUGGUCAGUGAAUGCACGCUCCUACGUAGGGGCCCCGCUUGUCCCUCUAUCAUCUAGGCAACCUCUCACAGGUCAGUUCAGAAUUUCGAAAUUAAUAAUGCCUUUACAAAGCAUUAUCUUUGGCGGAGGGGUGUGUGACGAAACGCGUCCCUUCUCAAUACAGAACUGACCAGUGCGGAACUAACCCCCCCCCCUUUAACCACUAGUUAGCAUUGUAUAGCCCCUUUUUCACUAAACUGACCAGGGUAGAACACAAACAAUCUAUUACACCAAUGUUAGAUCCAACCCCCAAAUUAUAGGCCAUAAACACACAUUGAAAGUUACGCCCCAAACGCCGAAACAAAAGCACGCAACCGUAAAGUCCAGGGACAUUAAAAUUUGGUGUCCACGUACAUCCCUUUGAGUCGACACUCCUAACGCCCAGGGCUAUUCAAAUCGUUUCCGUCCGCUGUACCAUCGAGCGAUGGUCCAGCCUGAUAAUUGUUGCAUGGUUCCGCUUUCAUCCUCCUUCGCCCCCCCCCCCGGGUCGCGGGUUAAAGAAGUCAGGUGAAUGAGCCCCAAAUGAAAAGAUUGGUCCAACUUAACAAUUCUAAACUCAAAAGACUCGCUGGCCAUUGGAUCGUCACUACUCUUAACAUACCGUUCGGGAACCUAUAAAAGCCGGAGACGAAAGUUUCAGGUUAAUGCCAUUCUAGAUCAGAAUCACUGAGAAGUCAGAAGACUCUCAAGUCAACGAUUCAUUUGGGAACUUGUGUAAGGCAAAGCGGCCUCCUACACCAGGGCUGGCGUGUUUUGUUGCCUGAAGGCAGACCUCAGCAGCUCUCCACACAUUCCCGUUGAGGGUGAGUCACUCAUCACCCUCGACCCGAACCGAAGGCAUUCCAGGCUGACGUCCCAGGACCGGUCUGCAACUACCACAGGAGUAAGCCCACCGCGUGGCAUCCUCAUAUUCCUCACACUAGCGCCUGCCUACCUGCAGGGCACCAACAACUGGCUAAAACACAACGGAGCUUCAACUUACCCCACCCCGAAGGAGAACCUUGCAUAGCAGAUAAGUGAGAGACAGCCGAAUAAGCAAACCAUACACGAAUCUUUAUGAGCAAUAUCCCAGUGAUGAUAUUAUCUUAAACGUUAUCAUAAAUCUUCCUGUACAUCCCCCCCCCUCACUCACUGAUUGUGUUUCCUCUCAAUUAAUCUUUAUUAAAUAUUUGUUCUUUUACGAAAUCAUUAAGCUUUACGUUUUGCUUGUGCCUGUCUAUGUGCCUAUAUAAUACCAACAAAAUAUUUACCACGUUGUGGCUCUAAGACUUUACCCCUAGAAGUCGCAGGCCAUCGUCCCCAUCGGGAAGUGCAAACGGACCGAUCGGCGGACUUAUUCCA